UACGGAGGGUGCAAGCGUUAUCCGGAUUCACUGGGUUUAAAGGGUGCGUAGGCGGGCAGGUAAGUCCGUGGUGAAAUCUCUGAGCUUAACUCAGAAACUGCCAUGGAUACUAUCUGUCUUGAAUAUUGUGGAGGUAAGCGGAAUAUGUCAUGUAGCGGUGAAAUGCUUAGAUAUGACAUAGAACACCGAUAGCGAAGGCAGCUUGCUACACAAUCAUUGACACUGAGGCACGAAAGCGUGGGGAUCAAACAGG
rnacentral:rRNA from 1 species